GCCCCCUUAGCUCAGUCGGCAGAGCGUCUCCAUGGUAAGGAGAAGGUCGACAGUUCAAUUCUGUCAGGGGGCUC
rnacentral:tRNA from 1 species